UGUGAGUUUUAUACGCUUUCU
rnacentral:piRNA from 1 species